rnacentral:tRNA from 1 species
UCCGGGGUAGUGUAACGGUAGCACCAGAGAUUUUGGUUCUCUUUGUCUGGGUUCGAAUCCUAGCCCCGGAA